UGAAAGAAUUUCAAUGUUUGGGUGAAACAUACCUUUGUUCUAAUUAUUAAUUUGAAAUAAUAUUGUUUUGGAUAAAAUAAUUGCAGAAUUAAUUAAUGAUAAAUAACUUAUAUAAAAUAAGUGACAAAUUAUGUUACAUAUCGUAUAUUUAGCUAUAUGGAAUACAAUGUAUUGUAAAUAGGUCUAUCAGUUGUAUAUUACAGAAGAGUGUAAAAACACGCUGAAAGCAGCGAUAUUACAUCGUACCCAUUUUCAUUUUAAUCGACAAAGCAGUAACAAAUAAUUUAAAUGCAUGUGAUAGUUUUGUCUUGUCUAAUGCUAACCAUUUAAAAUUCGCACUGAACUUCGAACUUAUGGCUGUUUGUUUUUCUACAACUUAUACGAUAUAAUGUCCCUCUGUUUACUAUGGUUACUAAGGCUAUAUGAACGACUUCUCAACUGGCCAAUCGCAGACCGCUUUUAAAAAUCUCUUAGCCAAUCCGAACGCAGGAGGCGGGAUCUACCAGAAUCCUACUUGGGGAAAAAAAUAAUACAAUGUGCACGGAACGCAAAAGGACGUAUGUUUGUUACUUAGCCGGAGCCCUGGACCAGCCAAUGGGAAAACGGAAUCCCGGAAAUAACCGUCCAGCAUAUCCGGUCCUUCUGUUGACAUAAACACAUCGCAUGUGAAUUUUGUAUUCAUUCAUGUGUGUGUAUUUGCAGAUGUUUUAGGACCGUAAAAUUAUUUUCGCUUUAGCGUUUUGUUGUUUUGAAAACGCAUUUAGAGAUUCAAUGUGUUUCAAAGUGAAGUAGCUUUAUUAUUACACUUCAAGUGACACAGCAGUAAACUCGUUAUCAAAGCACCGUUAUCUGUCCAGCUUAUCAUAAUUAUCGAUCUAACCUACAGGCUACAGUACACGAACAACAUGCGCAAUUGAUGUGCAUUAUAUAAAUUCAACCUGCGCACUUGGCGCUGCAGUAUAUUUUAGGUGUAAUUCAAAAACUGGAGCUGUCAGAUUACACUAACAGAACCACUAAAGACAGAACAGCCAUUUUAGUAAUGUUUUGGGCAAGUGUUUUUUUUUAAAUGACAAUAACCAAAUGGAUUUCACCGAAUGCUAUGAAGACACUUGCUCAGCCGUUGCGCUAGUGGCCCGACAAGGGAAGAGUCGACGGGUGCAGAAGCUCAUUCAGCGAGGCUUUGCCGUGGAUGUGAGAGAUAACCGGGGCUGGAACGCCCUGCACGAGGCUGCGGCGGCGGGAUACGCGGAGUGUGUGCGCCUUCUCCUCUCCGCAGCAGUCUGCUGCGAAGACUAUGUCAACACUUUGACACAUAACUCAGAGACUCCUCUUUACUUUGCUGCGAAGAAUGGACACCUCCGGGUGGUGAAGUGGCUUAUUAAGGGUCGUGCAGACCUUAACAGGACAACCAAUGACCUGUCCUGUCCCCUCUUUGCAGAUGGUGGGUACAAAGAUGUGGUGGAGCUGCUGGUGGGAAGUGGGGCAGAGGUCAAUGGAACUCACUCUGUGUCAGGCUGGUCUUGUCUCCAUCAAGCUGUUUACAAGGGUCACACUGAGAUUGCAAGGCACCUGGUGGGUGUGUGCUCUCUUGAGGCAGUGGAUGACUAUGGGAUCACACCGAUAUUUGUUGCUGCGCAAUAUGGACAUCACCAAUGCUUAGAGAUUCUAGCAAAGGCUGGGGCAAAUGUGAACUGCCAGGCAAAUGAUUUGGCCUCGCCACUGCUCAUUGCCGCUCAGGAAGGCCAUGUAUGUUGUUUGGAGCUUUUACUGGCCCAUGGAGCUGACCCAAACCUGUACUGCAAUGAGGACUGCUGGCAGCUACCCAUCCAUGCUGCAGCCCAGUUCAGUCGGCUUAGUAUUCUAGAAAAGCUGAUUCCAGUAACUAAUAGAGAGUGUGACCGGGGUGAAGGAAAAGUCAGUCCUGUUUACUUGGCAGUACUUAGUGGGCAAGCGGACAGUCUUCGGGCCUUGCUAAAACAGGGCUACAGUCCAGAUGCUCAGAGCUGUCGACAGUUUGGAUACAGCUGUCCUUUGGACAUGGCUCUGUGGUGCAACUCUUGGAACUUGGACAGUGAGUAUCACCAGACUCGGGAGAUCACUCUGAUGCUCUUGGCCGCAGGGGCCCAUGUGAGUAUGGGCAUUUAUGCAUGUACAUUACAGGGCCAUGUACCUGAGCACCUGCCCUUGAUUCUGGAGCAUGCUGGCCUACCUAAGGGUGACCGACUCAGGGAGCUGGUCCAGAGAGCCCUUGCUGAGAUGCAGAGUGCCUCCUUUUGGCUCCCCCUUCUGCUCAAAGCAGGAAUGGACCCCAUGCUGCUCCUACAGGACAAAAUGCUUGAAGAAGCUGAAAGCAGAGUGCUUAAUUUCUUUCUGGAGUUCAUUAAUUGGAAGACUUUUUCUUCUGCAAUGCUGCAUAUUCUCUCUCACCGCCGAGCAGAUGGCACAUGGACACCACGGAAGCAUUUUGGUAAAGAACUGGAAUGGCAUGUACAAUUAUGUCACACUUUAAAAUGUAUGCAUGUAAUUGCAUUAGAUUUCAUUUACAUCAUUUACAUUUAUUCAUUUGGCAGACGCUUUUAUCCAAAGCGACUUACAAAAGAGGAAGAACAUCAGCGAAUCAUCUUAGGGAGACAGUGGUACAAAAAGUGCCAUAUUACAAAGUUUCACUAUCAUCAUAAUAGUAUACAAAACAGAUUUAAGUGCAACAAGAAAUGUAAAUAUAUAUAAUUUUUUUUUAUUAUUAUUUAUUUAUUAAUUUAUUUUUUAUUGACCGGUUAAGUGCUUUUGGAAAAGAUGUGUUUUUAGCCGUUUUUUGAAGAUAGAGAGUGAGUUAGCUUCCUGGAUUGAGUUGGGAAGGUCAUUCCACCACCGUGGUAUGAUGAAACUGAAAGUCCGGGAAAGUGUUUUGGUGCCUCUUUGUUUUGGUACGACAAGGCGACGUUCCUUAGCCGACCGCAGGCUUCUGGUGGGAACGUAGCUCUGCAUAAAUGUUUUAAGGUAUGCUGGAGCAGACCCAGUGACUGUUUUAUAUGCCAGCAUCAGGGCCUUGAAUUUAAAACGGGCAUGAACCGGCAGCCAGUGGAGAGAGACAAAGAGUGGUGUAACAUGUGCUCUCUUAGGUUCAUUAAAGACCAGACGUGCUGCUGCAUUCUGGAUCAUUUGGAGAGGUCUAAUAGCACAUGCAGGAAGGCCUGCAAUGAGAGCGUUACAGUAGUCCAGUCUAGUUAUGACAAGGGACUGAACGAGCAGUUGUGUGGCAUGUACAGAGAGGAAGGGUCUUAUCUUCCUGAUAUUGUAGAGUGUAAAUCUACAAGAUCUUGCAGUUUUUGAAAUGUGGUCUGUGAAAUUUAGCUCAUCAUCAAUGGUUACCCCUAGAUUUCUGACCGUUUUGGAAGGCGAAACUGUAGUUGGACCCAGCUGCACGGUGAUGUUGUGUUCAACAGCAGGGUUGGCUGGAAAGACAAGGAGUUCGGUCUUGGCAGGGUUGAGUUGAAGGUGGUGUUCCUUCAUCCAGGCCGAGAUGUCUGCCAGACAGGCAGCGAUUCGAACGGUCACUGUGGUGUCGUUGGGCUGGAAAGACAAGUAGAGUUGCGUGUCAUCAGCGUAGCAGUGGUAAGAGAAACCAUGUGACUGGAUGAUGGGUCCCAGUGAUGUUGUGUAUAUGGAGAAGAGA